GUCGAGCGAGAAGCCCUUCGGGGUUAGUAAAGCGGCGAACGGGUGAGUAACACGUGGGCAAUCUGCCCCUCGCAGGGGGACAAUCGGGGGAAACUCCGGCUAAUACCCCGUAAGUUUCCAAAGUCGCAUGGCUUUGGAAAGAAAGGUAGCUUCGGCCAUCCGGCGAGGGAUGAGCCCGCGGUACAUUAGCUAGUUGGUGGGGUAACGGCCUACCAAGGCGGCGAUGUAUAGCUGGUCUGAGAGGAUGAUCAGCCACACUGGGACUGAGACACGGCCCAGACUCCUACGGGAGGCAGCAGUCGGGAAUCUUGCACAAUGGGCGAAAGCCUGAUGCAGCAACACCGUGUGAGCGAUGAAGGCCCUAGGGUCGUAAAGCUCUGUUGUUGGGGACGAAGGGCGAAGGGUUAAUAGCCCCUAGCUUGACGGUACCCUUCGAGGAAGCUCCGGCUAACUACGUGCCAGCAGCCGCGGUAAUACGUAGGGAGCGAGCGUUGUCCGGAAUUAUUGGGCGUAAAGAGCGUGUAGGCGGUUCGGUAAGUCUGUCGUGAAAACCUGGGGCUCAACCCUGGGCGUGCGAUGGAUACUGCCGGGCUAGAGGAUGGUAGAGGCCAGUGGAAUUCCCGGUGUAGCGGUGAAAUGCGCAGAUAUCGGGAGGAACACCAGUAGCGAAGGCGGCUGGCUGGGCCAUACCUGACGCUGAGACGCGAAAGCGUGGGGAGCGAACAGGAUUAGAUACCCUGGUAGUCCACGCUGUAAACGAUGGACACUAGGUGUUGGGGGAGUCGAAUCCCUCGGUGCCGCAGUUAACGCGUUAAGUGUCCCGCCUGGGGAGUACGGCCGCAAGGCUAAAACUCAAAAGAUGACGGGGGCCCGCACAAGCAGCGGAGCAUGUUCUUUAUUCGAUGCACCGCGAAGACCUUACCUGGACUUGAACUGGUGCUGCAGGCGCACGGAAACUGUGGGACCUUAAGGGUGC
rnacentral:rRNA from 1 species